rnacentral:rRNA from 1 species
GGAUCGCGCCUACCAUCAAGGAGCGGGCGUAGCAAUCGUCAGCGGCAGACGGGUGAGUAACGCGCUGGGAACAUACCUUUUGGUUCGGAACAACACAGGGAAACUUGUGCUAAUACCGGAUAAGCCCUUACGGGGAAAGAUUUAUCGCCGAAAGAUUGGCCCGCGUCUGAUUAGCUAGUUGGUGAGGUAAUGGCUCACCAAGGCGACGAUCAGUAGCUGGUCUGACAGGAUGAUCAACCACAUUGUCUGAGAACGCCACUCCUCGAUUCCCCGGGGNCAAUUGAAUUCAUUUUUAAAUCUAGGA